GGAGGCCAAGGUGGGCGGAUCACGAGGUCAAGAGAUCAAGACCAUCCUGGACAACAUGGUAAAACCCCAUCUCUACUAAAAAGACAAGAAUUAGCUGGGCAUGGUGGUGCCCGCCUGUAGUCCCAGUCACUCCUGCUGAGGCAGGAGAAUCGCUUGAACCCAGCAGGCGGAGGUUGCAGUGAGGCGAGAUCGUGCCAUCACACUCCAGCCUGGCAACAGAGCAACACUCCAUCACAAAAAAAAAAAAAAAAAGACAAUCAUUCAAUCAACCAAAGGCACUGAGUGAUAUUUGAGGAUUAUUUAUUUGCUCCUGUCCUAAACAGUCUUACCUUAUUAAUACCAUGUCUUUUAUCUUUUAUAUUCUUAUGGCCAUUAUUUAUGGAGUCUCAGACUUUUCCUUUGGUCAAAGAACCCAGCUAAGAAAAUCAAUACAUGACAUUCACCAGGCCAGAGCCUGGUCCAGCAUAAGGUCCAGUGAGACAGAAAUGAGAAGUAGGAAAGAGAACUUUAGGGGAAGUUUUCUAUGCUUGAAAGAGAGCCACAGAAAGAGACACUGCCCCUGGCCUUUAUCCUUGUGGACGUGAGGCCUGAACUGCUGCCCAUGGCAUGGCACAAGCCUACCGAGGAAGCCUACGCAGAGGAGGGGAGAUGCAAAGUAUCCCAGGAAAAUGGAACCAGACCCACAGGAUUCAAUUAGCCCUGAAGAACAUCCUACUGCAGAACUUCUAGUAUAUAACUUAAUAUCUUUAUUAUUUAGACCAGUUUGAGUUAGUGUUCUGUUAUUUGCAAACAGGAACAUUUCAACGACCUCAGAACGUGAAAGACUCAGCCCACUGUAAGAAGAGAAGAAGGCUCAAUCACUCUCUACCUCCACAAACACCCACCACCAUCACCUCCGCCACCUCCACCACCACCU
rnacentral:lncRNA from 1 species